rnacentral:rRNA from 1 species
GACGAACGCUGGCGGCGUGCCUAAUACAUGCAAGUAGAACGCUGAAGGAGGAGCUUGCUUCUCUGGAUGAGUUGCGAACGGGUGAGUAACGCGUAGGUAACCUGCCUGGUAGCGGGGGAUAACUAUUGGAAACGAUAGCUAAUACCGCAUAAUAGUAGAUGUUGCAUGACAUUUGCUUAAAAGGUGCAAUUGCAUCACUACCAGAUGGACCUGCGUUGUAUUAGCUAGUUGGUGAGGUAACGGCUCACCAAGGCAACGAUACAUAGCCGACCUGAGAGGGUGAUCGGCCACACUGGGACUGAGACACGGCCCAGACUCCUACGGGAGGCAGCAGUAGGGAAUCUUCGGCAAUGGACGGAAGUCUGACCGAGCAACGCCGCGUGAGUGAAGAAGGUUUUCGGAUCGUAAAGCUCUGUUGUAAGAGAAGAAUGAGUGUGAGAGUGGAAAGUUCACACUGUGACGGUAUCUUACCAGAAAGGGACGGCUAACUACGUG